GUUGAUGGCAAAGCUGAAGAUGCAUUUCAGCACGUUGGGUGAGAUCUGCAAAGGCCGUUAAAUGAGAUGAGGACCUACCAAGCUAAUGGAGCAACUCCUUCUCAAUCACAACAUUGAACUGCCUCACUGAUUUCAGUGCCUAUAUCCUUCCAGUGCCCCUAGAUUGCUUUGGUUCUGUAUUCAUAAAUGAAAGUGCAGUGACUCAGAGGUUUGGCUGUCUGAGCUGUCUGUCCUUGAUGGCUGAAAACAUCUCCAAAGCAGGAAAGAAAUAUCACCCAGCCAUCAGCAGCAACAAUUUCAAGUUUGUCUCAGUGGAGGCAGGACUUCUAUCCCAUCAAAGGAUCUCACCACUUUCCAUAUCAGGAGAAAGGGGGAAAUGCAGGCCAUAAGGUUUUUCCUGCUCAAUGAGCUAGAGGUUGUUGUCCUGUUGUCAUGAAUCUGAGCUCACUGGAUGGAGGCCACCAGGAAAUCCAUUUGAUGCUUAUUGUUGAAUUUAUGAGGGGUUAGUAACUCAUCUGGGUGGAAACAAAAGCUUACACUAUGGUUGGGAGGCACUGGAAUCUGCUUGUUUGGAUUUUUAGAUUUGUGUCUUCUAACCUUAGAUGUUUGAAAGACUGAUGUCUCAGCUGAGCCUUGCCACUGCAGGUUGCCUUUAUACUGCCUAGCUAGAAGACACUUUCCCCGGUGCAAUAAUACACAUUAAAGAAAUGUGUAUUGCUACCAAAGACCAGAAGCUAUAAUAAUAACAUGGUUGUGAGAGAGGAGAGAGCACCAAUAUUCCAGGACCCUCUACUAAGUUCAAGUUGGGCUCUUCAUGGAAAAGGCUGAGGCUUCUAAAUAAAGUGUUUUCUCAGUGGGAAUUACCUUCAGUUUAGACAUCCUGGCAGAAAUUCUCAGAAACCUUGGAGACCUCUUUAUAGUGGAAGAUCAUUUUUGAGAUGAGUCACUCAAAGCUUUCCCUGUGCUCUGUCACUACAGCUGUUGGCGUCUGAUGUGAUACCAGGGAAAACCGAUACCUGACCUGGGCAGGUAUGGCAGAUCCUUAGUCAAGUUCCUACUUGUUUUCUUCUGCUAUAUAUAAAUACUAUGUAAAUAUAUUUAAUUUUCUGAAUGUUCAGACUUCUGAACUACACCUCAACUGCAUGAAAGCUGACGGAGGAUUUAAAAAAUAAUUCUUAAUCGAGACCAACUAUUAUGACAAUUCUUUAGCAACGUGAAAUUUUGAAUUGUAAUUAAGGAUUGUGCUCACUUUAGUUUUUUUUUUUUUUUUUUUUUUUCUCCAGAAGGACUUAAGAAUGUGUUCAACAUGCCAUACAUUUUUAGAUUCUGUGUUGAAAAAGGUCUUUGAUCUCUCUCUCUUUUUUUUUUUUUUUUCUUGAUUUCCCUUCACCCUCUCUCGUCCCUUUUCUCAUCUGCUACUUCUAAUCUAGGCUUGUAUUGUAUAAAUAAAUCCUAAAUUGACGUCAUUUGUCUGUGAUAUGGAACACUGUUUAUGUUGAAUCAGUUUUGCUGUUUUGUUAGCACGGAAAGCAACCUGAAUAGUCCAGGUGCAGAAGCCUGAAGCUUAGUGGCUUGAAAUGAACAUGUAGAUUGAUCCAGUCAAAUUCUUACAUUAAUUAACUAUACUUCUUAACUGUUCUCCUUCUUCUUUCUCUCCCCUCCACCUUCCCUUGCCCCCAGCUCCUUUGUAAAUGAAAACAUAAUCUUGAUUCAUGUUGCAUAGCUUUGUUUUUGGUCUGACACAGAACUGAAGUGGGUUUUGCUUGGCAAAGAAAGGUAUUACAAAGGUUGCUGGAAACACUGUGUGAUUGCUACGUGAUUUUUUCCCUCUUCUUUGUUUCUUGCCCUUACAGAUGAAAUCAACAUAGAUCUGUAAAUGAGGUGUGUCUAAUUUGAACUACCGAGUGCUUUAUAGGUGAUAAAUUUGCUGUAACUAUUUCCUGAAGAUGUUUUCUUUUCCCCACUUAUGCUGAGAGUUGUGCUAUUAUUCUUCUAUAGAAAGACCGUUUAAGAAGUCUACUUCCAGCUGAAACAGCUCUAGUCUUUACUAAAGUAUAUAUUUGUUUAAGGGACUUCUACAGAAAAAGAAAUAAAAAUAACCUCUGAAAAUACAGGUCUUCAAUAAGAACUUGA
rnacentral:lncRNA from 1 species